GCAGCCGCGGUAAUUCCAGCUCCAAUAGCGUAUAUUAAAGUUGUUGCAGUUAAAAAGCUCGUAGUUGAACUUCGAAAUUUGUUCAUUGGUCAGGCUUAACUGUCUGUACUGGUGUUACGAAUUUCUACCUUCUGAGGAAUCCUCAUGCCAUUAAUUUGGUGCGGGGGGGAAUCAGGACUGUUACUUUGAAAAAAUUAGAGUGUUUAAAGCAGGCUAACGUCUGAAUACAUUAGCAUGGAAUAAUAAAAUAGGACGGUUUGGUUCUAUUUUGUUGGUUUCUAGGAUCACCGUAAUGAUUAAUAGGGAUAGUUGGGGGCAUUAGUAUUCAAUUGUCAGAGGUGAAAUUCUUGGAUUUAUUGAAGACUAACUACUGCGAAAGCAUUUGCCAAGGAUGUUUUCAUUAAUCAAGAACGAAAGUUAGGGGAUCGAAGACGAUCAGAUACCGUCGUAGUCUUAACCAUAAACUAUGCCGACUAGGGAUCGGACGAAGUUAAUUUUUAAAUGACUCGUUCGGCACCUUACGGG
rnacentral:rRNA from 1 species